rnacentral:lncRNA from 1 species
AGUUGAGUCUUAAAGGUGAUGUUGUUAUUGGGAAUAGUAUCCCAAAGUCAAUCGUCAGCCUGUUGACGGUUGUGCUCUUUCUUGUAUUAGUAUAUGAAUUAUAAAUAAAUAAAAGUUAUUUUGAUAUUUUUCAUCACAAAUUAUUUCAUCUUCUAAUGAACUCCUGUGUUGUGGUGAAGUCCUUAGGACUAUUUAGACUUGACAAAAGAGGAUUUAUCGUUUAGUCCUUAAACCUGUUCGCGACCAAAUGAUACGUUGUUAC